UACGAACUGUGCGAACGUUAUUCGGAAUCACUGGGCUUAAAGGGUGCGUAGGCGGCGCUGUAAGUCAGGUGUGAAAUCCCCCGGCUCAACCGGGGAAUGGCGCUUGAAACUGCAGUGCUUGAGUGAGGUAGGGGUGCAUGGAACUUCCGGUGGAGCGGUGAAAUGUGUAGAUAUCGGAAGGAACGCCGGCGGCGAAAGCGGUGCACUGGGCCUUGUCUGACGCUGAGGCACGAAAGCUAGGGUAGCGAACGGGAUUAGAUACCCCGGUAGUCCUAGCCGUAAACACUGAGCACUGGAGCGGAGGGGUUUCGGCCUUUCCGCUCGCAGCGAAAGCGUUAAGUGCUCCGCCUGGGGAGUAUGGUCGCAAGGCUGAA
rnacentral:rRNA from 1 species